AUUUUAUAUUUCAAAUCUGUAAAUGCCAUAAAUUACAAUAAAUUUGAAACUUAAAAUCAUACAAAUUUAUUAAAAUGAAGAAAUCUGAUCCAUUUAAUUAAAAAUAAAUUCAUAACCAACUACUUAAAUAGGUAGCUACAUGUCAUGGGUUCAUCAAACAAUUAACAAACCCAACAUCUAUCAAAGAACCCUAAACUAAUAAAAUUGACAAGUAAAGGAAAGCUAAAUCAUCCUGAAUUCUCCAUAGAGUCUUCUUGAGAGUCGUCAUCAUCUACGUUGUCAUUCUCAGCAUGCGUGGUUGAGUUAUUCGUUGUCAUUCUCAGCAUGGAGUCCUCUUGAGAGUCGUCUCCCACCUCUAGUUCUCACCAUAGCUGGAGAAAAAAAAACUUAUAAUUAAGUAUAGGAUAAAUAAAAGAAAUUAUUCAAGAUGAUGUUGUAAUGCAAUUUAAAAAUUAUUCACUACUCUACUAGUUCCAAAAUCGAUUAGCAUCUUACUUGUCUGCAAGAUGGUAGCAUUCAACAGUACAAAGAACAAUUUAUAUACCCAACAUAUACAAAAUAAUCACAUAAAAUUUACAAGCUAUCACAAAAUAAUCACAUAAAAUCAGAAAGCACUAUCAUGUUUCAGUGGCUACUUAUACAAUAGCCUCUCUUUUUUAAUAGAAAACAUAGCAUAGAUUAUUGCAUCCACUAAAAUAAACAAUCAUAUAUAUUUCAUAUUCAGAAAAAAAGAGAAAAUCAGAAAGCACUAUCAUGUUUAUGCACAAAAUAAUAGUGUAUCAAGUGCUAAGUAUUGUUCAAGGUGGGAUGAAACUUAGAAGUUUUUGGAAGAAAAAUAUAAGACAAUCAAGAAAUCUUAAUUUCAUGUUCAUGUUCAUGUUCAUCUAUGACAUUUAGGGGAAAUGAACUGAAAAGCGGCCAAACAUGGCAUGACUACAACUGUACGUAGAUUGUGGGUAGGUUUUGCAAAAAUAAAUCCAUGUGGUAACUAUAUACACAUAUUUAACUAAUUUGUAUGACUUCGCUACAUUAUACUUGUUACAUUAUACUUAUAAUUAUAUCAUUUUGUAAAAAUCAGUUACAUACAAUGACUUUGCUAUCUAUGCUCCCUUUAUUCCAUUAGUUUGGCAAUGAGUAUUUACAUGAUUUUAACCAAUAAUAGAAUGUGUUUUAUACGUAAUUAACCUAUAUAUAGGAUGAUGAAAUCAACUUGAAAAUGGAUUAAAGAUUAGUUAACUAAUUUACAAAAAGAUGAAAUCUUAAGAACUUAAGAUUUAUGAAAGCGUGAAGUUGGUAUGGAUUUUGAAUAUGAUGUAUGAUACAAGUUAAAGAUUUAUAAAUCCAUCUAAUUAUGUAUCAAGUCACAAAUGAUGUUGGUGUUUUUGGCUUUUUAUCAUGUCGUUUUGCCAUUUUCCUAUAAUGUAGUGCUAAGUACUUAUAUAAUUGAUAGUCCAGAGAAGGCUAAAAUGGUGCUAUAUAUUGUGGGCUUUGUGGCCCCUCUUUCCAUUCAUAUGGCCCUUCUACCCAGUUGGCCCUCUCUCACACACAAACUCAAGAAUAUCAAGGCAAUAAGACAUUAUUGUUUUCUAACUGCCUAUUACAAUAAGUCCUCUUGAUUGCCAAUGUAUUUCGUCUCAUAAAGGCAUAUCUCUGUUUCUUGCUGCAUUCCUGAUGCUUUUCACUUGUAUGUAUUUUUUUUAUGCUGUGCCUAUAGAAAAGUAACUUGUGUCCUCCUUUUAUGUGUCCUUUGAUUACCUUUUUUCUGUAUUUAAUUCCCUUCCCAUCUUUUCUAACCAAAAAAGGAAAAGAAAAGUUUCACUGUUCUAUAAGAAUUUUGAGUUGUAAUAUUUCUAAUCGACACCUUGUUUGCAGAUGAGUUUGAGAUUAAUUAAACAAAUUGGAUAUAAAUUUUGACAACAUAAAGCCAAGUAUAAGUUAAAGUCAGAGGGUAACAACUGGAAUUAAGAUAAAACAAAUGAAAAACAUAACCAGCCAAAACAUAAUUUAAAAUCAAAUUCCUUUCAUAUACCAAAUUUGUCUCUGUAGGCCCAAACAAAUAAAUUGAAAUACAAGAUUGGUAUAUAUAUUUAAUAUCAAUCUGGUAGGAUAAUAAUUAAAGUAAAUAUUAAUUGAAUUACAAACAAAAGAAUACAAAAUGAAUGUCAAAUUAAUGAAUUAAUGAGUAACCCUUUCAUUCCAACAAAAGAAGAAUUCUAAUUUAAGUCUUUUUCUAAUCAGUUUCAUAUUAGAUUUGUUUACAAACUACACUCCUUUCUCAAUCAAAGUAAUUAACUAACAAAGUUUCAUAUAUAUUCAUGCAUACAUAUACGUACGUAAUUAACAUACAUACAUAUAUAAAUCGAGGACCAUAUGUAUGUUAAAUCUCCACAAACACAUGAACAAUUAAAUUGUCAAUAACAGUUCGUAAAACAUCUCUAUAAAAACAGGAAUUGGGGCAAAAUUCGAAUAGAGAAAGCAUAAUCACAAUUCUAAAAUAAAAAUUGGGGAAAAAUUAGAACAGAGAAAUGAAAGAGGGAGAGAAUAAACACACAAGGAGAGGACUUGCCUUCGAAAUCACAACCUUAACUGGGCAACUUUGGUAGAAGAUGGGUCUAGGGUUUCAGUUUGUAGCCUAUGGAAAAGAGAGGGAGGUUUAUAUAAUCGUACUUGAAAUGAAAGAUAGAAAGAGAGAUCCAGCCAUUGUUUCAAAAUGAGCGGAAUAUGCAACUAAAUUAGCUUAGAUUUUUGUUUGUUUAAUUAUAU
rnacentral:lncRNA from 1 species